UUUCUCUCCUCCUCUUUCAACUCAGCUGUUUCCCUUUCUUUUUUUCAAAUACGUUCUUACCGUAAAAAUCUUACGGUUAUUCCCAAUUUUAUCAGUUACACUUUUAAUCUUCAAACUUUAAAUGAUUAACAAAUGGCUGAUUGAUUGUGAGCGUCACUGGUUUUCAAUAAACAAUGAAUUACAAGUGAACAAGUGAAACAGGCGACAAAGGAAUACAGUUUACUCCUGAUAUUACACAAAAUCUUAUUGUAAAGGGGACCUGAUGAUAGGAUCAACCAGAAAACAUAUCAAGAGAUGGCGAAAUCAGCAGUUGGUGGACAGAAUUUUCAAAUUGGUUGAAGCGGAGGUAAAAGUAGAAACAAAUUUACUUUUGAUUCAAUAAAUGAUUGAUACAAAUCUCCUUGAUUAACCUUGGAAGUGAAAAGGAGAAUCAAGAAAUAUGUCUACAAUUUCCAGUGUGUGGUUGUCAUUUGCUGAUUUGUUUGGGUUGUAGAUGAAGAAAUGCGAGAUGAUUUAGUUGAUUGAAAAGAUUUGGAACACAUUCAGAGUUAAAUGGCACACACAAAAUAAACUGAUUCACUUGAUACACUCAACGUUUCCAGCUCAUGGUAAUUGCUAACCAAUCCAACGCCUUAACAUGUCGAAAGGAUUCAUUAUCAAAUUUGAUUGUGUAAUUGGUUGUUACCAUUAAAAUUAAGACGCUUCGAUGUGUAAAGUGAAAAUUAAUUGAAAAUCAAUCAUCAACAAUAAUGGUGCUUGCAUAAACAAAACAUGGUAUCUUGUGCUCAGUAUCUUUGAACCAAUCGACCUUUGAUUAAAACCUUGAUUGAUAAUUUGUACAAUUUAAGAAUAAAGAAGAGGAAACAAUUAAUUUCAAUCACAGGACAUUGAGAGAAGGAAAUUGAUUGAAAUGGUAAAGAAAAUGAAAUUAUUAGUUUACUCUUCAUAUUAUUGUGAUUCAGUUAACUUUCAGACAAUCAGGAUAAAAGGAUGAUUAUGCAGCAACCUGGAUCAAUUGCAUUUCUGAUUUGUACACAAUUAUAAUUGUAUGAACACCUUUCAUUAGGCUAAUCAUUUUCAUCUAAUUAUAUCACUUAUGUGUAAGAUGUUUUUGUAUUGUUUUACAUUUUAUUUACAUUUUUCUGAAAAUAUUUGCCACAAAAUGGUUCAUCUUAUAACAGCUGUAAUACAAGUGUUCACAAUCUUGCAUUGAAAUUACGCUCAAAUAUUGUUGAUUGAAAAUUAAGUUGAUGAAUAAUUGAAUAAAAACAAAUCAGUAAUCAAAA